rnacentral:rRNA from 1 species
GAUGAACGCUAGCGGGAUGCCUUACACAUGCAAGUCGAACGGAGUGGCGAACGGGUGAGUAAUGUAUCGGAACGUGCCCAGUAGCGGGGGAUAACUACGCGAAAGCGUAGCUAAUACCGCAUACUAUUGGAGCGGCCGAUGGCGGAUUAGCUAGUUGGUGGGGUAACGGCUCACCAAGGCGACGAUCCGUAGCUGGUUUGAGAGGACGACCAGCCACACGGGGACUGGGACACGGCGAGGCCUCCUACGGGAGGCAGCGAGGGGGCAGUUUGGACAAUGGGGGAAACCCUGAUCCAGCCAUCCCGCGUGGGGGAUGAAGGAAUUAGGGUUGUAAAGCACUUAUGGUAUGAAAGCGGUACCUGCAGAAUAAGCACCGGCUAACUACGUGCCAGCAGCCGCGGUAAUUC